AAUGCAAAUUCUCAGGCCCAUUCCACCCCAGUGAAUCCAAAUUCUGGGGUGGAGCCCAGUAAUCUGCAUUUUAACAAGCCCUCCAUGUGACUUUUGCACAGU
rnacentral:miRNA from 1 species